GCUUGGGUAGUUUAAAGGUAAAACUCUAAUCUCAUACGUUGGUAAUAAGAGUUCGAUUCUCUUCUCAGGCU
rnacentral:tRNA from 2 species